CAGCAAUCAUUUGCAGGAGAUAUUGAUCAAUCAGAGAAUGCACAUUUCUGAACCAGGCUUGACAUGGGUUCCAUGGAGCAUCCUGAAUAGCCACCAACACUUCAAGCUCCAUUAGAUUCAUCAGUCGGAAGACCUAUUGGCAGAAUAACUUGCGCUGUAGCCUGACUCAGCUUCUCCUGCUUUGGACUCCACUCAAAUAAAGAGUAACCUUAUGCAUUACACUGCAACAGGGUCAGAGGAGUACAUCCAUACACGAUCCCUGGUGAGGUUGAUGGGACAGUAGCAGGAACCUUGUUUUGUGGAUUUGGAAAUGGAAACCCAAGAGAGUCUGAGAAGCCCUAUGUGCCACAAGUACUCUGUCUGCCCCAGGCCACUGCCAGCAUCACGA